UCCCUGGCGGUCCAGUAGUUAGGACUCUGCGCUUACACCGCAGGGAGCACAGGUUCGAUCCCUGGUCAGGGAA
rnacentral:tRNA from 1 species